rnacentral:rRNA from 1 species
CCUACGGGAGGCAGCAGUGAGGAAUAUUGGUCAAUGGGCGGAAGCCUGAACCAGCCAAGUAGCGUGCAGGAUGACUGCCCUACGGGUUGUAAACCGCUUUUAUCCGGGAAUAACGCGCCUUACGUGUAGGGCUAUGGAUGUACCGUAUGAAAAAGGACCGGCUAACACCGUGCCCGCCGCCGCGGGAAUACCGCAGGUCCGGGCGUUAUCCGGAUUUUUUGGGUUUAAAGGGUGCGGUGGCCGGAUGGCAAGCGUACUGGUAAAUGUCCGGGGGCAAACCGGGCCGUGCCGUGGGAACUGGCGGUGUUGAGUGGGCGAGAAGCAUGCGGAAUGCGUGGUGUAGCGGUGAAAUGCAUAGAUAUGACGAAGAACUCCGAUUGCGAAGGCAGCAUGCUGGAGCGGAACUGACGCUGAUGCACGAAAGCGUGGGUAUCGAACAGGAUUAGAUACCCUAGUAGUC